AUGGGGCCGCCGUUUGAUCCCAGCGCCACACCAGACCUGCGGUGUCCACGGGGCUCAAGUGCCCUCAGCAAAGGAUCGCAGACCAUUGGCGGGGACGAGUUCUCCAGGGAUCAGCGGUUUAGAUAUAUGAGGCACGGCGCAGUUACCGAAACCCUCCAGCCAGGGCAGAAGACUGACCAAACCACCUUCAAGAAUUCGGCCCGCGACAAGCCACAUCACAUCACCAGCUCCACUCUGGAAAACCCCGGCCACGGGAGAGUGGCCUCCACCCUUGACAGCCAGGGAGAAGCGACUGCCCCCCGGAAGCAAGAUGGCGGCCACUGCUUUCCCCUUCUUCCCCGAGAACCCCCUCCCGGUCCCCAGAAGAGAGACAAGGACGUCGCGGCGCCGACGCCGAGAUCCGGGAAUCUCCCGGCCACUCCCGGGCCCCCGGGAGGCGACUCCACCUCGCCAGGCGCGGGGAGUCGGGGGUGGGGCCGUCCAAAGGGCCGCGCAGCCCGCCCUCGCCACGCAGAGGGUGGACGCCUGCUAGCCUGCACCCUCCUGGCCAUUGUUCUCCAGCUCCGUCCCCCAACACCCUCCUCUCCGUUCGCCGACGGAAGUUACUCCCCAGCCAGCCCCGCCCCGCUUCCCAGCGCCCCGGAAGUGAUCUGCGGCGGCUGCUGCAGAGCGGCCAGGAGGAGGGUGGAUCUCUGGAGAGCGGAGCGCCCCGAGUCCUCCUCCUCCUCCUCCUGCCGCCCAGGCUCCGCCGCCGCCCGUCGGACUUGUCCUUCUGCCUUUCGCGGCGGGGAGCCUCCCAGACGACCAGGGCCGACCUCACUCCGGCCGAACUCAGCUCAGUCGCGGCUUUCGGAGCCCGCUGGGCGGCAGACCGGCUUGCAGUGCAGUGCUCUGGAACCACCAAAGAAGUAGCCACUCCGGCCCACAGAGCAGGCGGAAGGCUGGAAGUGCUUCACAGAAGAGGUUCUCUUUAAACAGCUUUCUUUACUGUUAUGCACACAUUUCACAUCACCCUGUUAGGCCACAGUGUUUUCAUUGAAAAUGUUUUGAUCAAGUUGUAUGGAUCAAGAACUUUUCUCACCGUUGAUUUAAUAUGGUAUCAAGUAUGCAUUAAAUUGGUCAUCUCAAAAAUAGCUGAAAAGUACAUUUAUAGAGUUAAAAGCAAUUUAAAUUUAAUUAUCUCAGUCUCCACCACCUUCUUCCCUGCUCUGUUUGAAUCCUUUUCCUGGGAGCUUAUAGACAGGUUUUUUUCAUUUGUGUUGU
rnacentral:lncRNA from 1 species